rnacentral:rRNA from 1 species
GAAGUAGCUCUCGUUGGUGACCAGCGGAGGGUCAUUACCGAGUUUACAACUCCCAAACCCCUGUGAACAUACCUUAAUGUUGCCUCGGCGGAUCAGCCCGCGCCCCGUAAAACGGGACGGCCCGCCAGAGGACCCAAACUCUAAUGUUUCUUAUUGUAACUUCUGAGUAAAACAAACAAAUAAAUCAAAACUUUCAACAACGGAUCUCUUGGUUCUGGCAUCGAUGAAGAACGCAGCAAAAUGCGAUAAGUAAUGUGAAUUGCAGAAUUCAGUGAAUCAUCGAAUCUUUGAACGCACAUUGCGCCCGCUGGUAUUCCGGCGGGCAUGCCUGUUCGAGCGUCAUUUCAACCCUCAAGCCCCCGGGUUUGGUGUUGGGGAUCGGCUCUGCCUUCUGGCGGUGCCGCCCCCGAAAUACAUUGGCGGUCUCGCUGCAGCCUCCAUUGCGUAGUAGCUAACACCUCGCAACUGGAACGCGGCGCGGCCAUGCCGUAAAACCCCAACUUCUGAAUGUUGACCUCGGAUCAGGUAGGAAUACCCGCUGAACUUAAGCAUAUCAAAAGGGGGGAGGAA